rnacentral:rRNA from 1 species
UAGGGAAUCUUCCGCAAUGGACGAAAGUCUGACGGAGCAACGCCGCGUGAGUGAAGAAGGAUUUCGGUUCGUAAAACUCUGUUGUUAGGGAAGAAAAAAUGUAUAGUAACUAUAUACAAAAGAGACGGUACCUAACCAGAAAGCCACGGCUAACUACGUGCCAGCAGCCGCGGUAAUACGUAGGUGGCAAGCGUUGUCCGGAAUUAUUGGGCGUAAAGCGCGCGCAGGUGGUUUAGAAAGUCUGAUGUGAAAGCCCACGGCUCAACCGUGGAGGGUCAUUGGAAACUAAUAAACUUGAGUGCAGGAGAGAAAAGUGGAAUUCCUAGUGUAGCGGUGAAAUGCGUAGAGAUUAGGAGGAACACCGGUGGCGAAAGCGGCUUUUUGGCCUGCAACUGACACUGAGGCGCGAAAGUGUGGGGAGCAAACAGG